rnacentral:lncRNA from 1 species
CCUGCUUCUGGAUAUCAAGAUCCAAGGUGUAAUCUUGAUGGGAUGAGGUCUCCAAUUCCAUGGUUGGAUGGCCCCGUAAUUUCAGAUGCUAGGCCAGUUGCAAGCAACACCUUUAAUUCUUCAAUUUCAAACGUCAAUAAUGUUGCAUCUUCCAGAAAUCAGAACUACCGUCCGAAUUCUCAUUACAUGGUAUGCAUGAGUUGCCUUAUCUGCUUUUUAAUUAUGGUUUUUGUAUCAUGAAUCAAUUAGAAUAAUAUAAUGCCAGAUAUUUGAUUAUGUUGACUUGUGUUGUGAGAAAGUGUUGAUAUGAAUAAAUGUUACCGUUCCUUCACAAUUGAUAUUAAUUUGAGCCUCUGCUGUUGUGAUGAAUGUUUUGUGGUGGACAAAAAUUGAUGGUGGACAAAAGUUGAUGUUAGAUCAUUUUAUGCACAGAAAUAUUCAACACUUUAUUUAGCUAUCUCUGAAAGUUUUCUUUUCUCUUCUCCACAGGGUUUGCACCAUCCUAGACCGAUGUCUGGCAUGGGCGCUGCACAGGGUUUCAUGAAUAUGAAUAGGAUGUAUCCUAACAAGUUAUACGGUCAGUAUGGUAACACAUUUAGAUCUGGGGUGGGGUUUGGCUCCAAUGGCUAUGAUUUGCGAACAAAUGGUCGUGGAUGGUUGUCUGUUGAUGGGAAGUAUAAAUCCAGGGGACGUGGCAAUGGUUAUUUUGGUUAUGGUAAUGAGAACAUGGAUGGAUUGAAUGAGCUUAAUAGGGGACCUAGAGCCAAGGGAGCAAAAAACCAAAAGGGUUCAGCACCCAAUGCUUUACCAGUCAAAGAGCAGAAUGUGCUAACAAAUGGGACCGCUGAGGAUGAGAAUGAUAAGAUUAGUUUGAGUCCUGACAGAGAUGAAUACAAUAAAGCAGAUUUCCCAGAAGAGUACACUGAUGCUAAAUUCUUUGUCAUCAAAUCGUACAGUGAGGAUGAUGUCCAUAAAAGUAUCAAGUACAGUGUUUGGGCCAGCACCCCCAAUGGCAACAAGAAGCUUGAUGCUGCUUACCAGGAGGCUCAACAGAAGUCUCGCAGCUGCCCUGUAUUU